rnacentral:rRNA from 1 species
UACGGAGGGUGCAAGCGUUAUCCGGAUUUACUGGGUUUAAAGGGUGCGUAGGCGGCGCGGUAAGUCGGGUGUGAAAUCUUGGAGCUUAACUCCGAAACUGCAUUCGAUACUGCCGUGCUUGAGGACUGGAGAGGAGACUGGAAUUUACGGUGUAGCGGUGAAAUGCGUAGAUAUCGUAAGGAAGACCAGUGGCGAAGGCGGGUCUCUGGACAGUUCCUGACGCUGAGGCACGAAGGCCAGGGGAGCAAACGGG